GAGCAGGGUGAAGCCAGGGGAACUCUGGUGGAGGCUCGUAGCGAUACUGACGUGCAAAUCGUUCGUUUGACUUGGGUAUAGGGGCGAAAGACUAAUCGAACCAUCUAGUAGCUGGUUCCCUCCGAAGUUUCCCCUAGGAUAGCUGGAACAUGUGACAGUUUUAUCAGGUAAAGCUAACGAUUAGAGGUCCUGGGGCUGAAACAGCCUUAACCUAUUCUCGAACUUUAAAUAGGUAAGAAGCCCGGCGAUGCUUGAGUGAUCCCGGGCCGCGAAUGGAAUGUUCUUUUGUUGGGCCGAUUUUGGUUAAGCAGAACUGGCGAUGCGGGAGUGAACCGGACGUCGAGUUAAGGUGCCGGACGUGUUCGCUCAUCUAGAUACCACAAAAAGGUGUUGGUUCAUUUAGUAC
rnacentral:rRNA from 1 species